GACGAACGCUGGCGGCGUGCCUAAUACAUGCAAGUCGAGCGAGCGGAACUAACAGAUUUACUUCGGUAAUGACGUUAGGAAAGCGAGCGGCGGAUGGGUGAGUAACACGUGGGGAACCUGCCCCAUAGUCUGGGAUACCACUUGGAAACAGGUGCUAAUACCGGAUAAGAAAGCAGAUCGCAUGAUCAGCUUUUAAAAGGCGGCGUAAGCUGUCGCUAUGGGAUGGCCCCGCGGUGCAUUAGCUAGUUGGUAAGGUAAAGGCUUACCAAGGCGAUGA
rnacentral:rRNA from 1 species